AAAUCUUGGCAAAAAUCAGGCGGAUCGCAAUACUCUCCCCCACUUGAAUUGGCAACGACCGCAGCGCCACACAUAUUUAGAAAGGGGAUUUGAAGAUUGUGCUGCCCAAGCUAAAGCAGCUUCAAAUUUGCAACGUACACAUAAAACGGCUAUGUCCGUAUGCUAUGACAAUUGAUCUACCAUCACUAGAGGAAGUGGUGUUAAAGCGGAAUUAGGGUUCGCCACUGAUGCUUCUAAGCUUAGAGAGUGCACCAGCACUGACCAAGCUCCAAAUUGAUGACCACAACUUAAACGGCACACUAGCACAACAAAUCUUUCGGCAC
rnacentral:lncRNA from 1 species